rnacentral:rRNA from 1 species
GAUGAACGCUGGCUACAGGCUUAACACAUGCAAGUCGAGGGGAAACGACGGGGAAGCUUGCUUCCCCGGGCGUCGACCGGCGCACGGGUGAGUAACGCGUAUCCAACCUGCCUCUGACUGAGGGAUAACCCGUCGAAAGUCGGCCUAAUACCUCAUGGCAUCGUCUGCGGGCAUCCAACGACGAUUAAAGAUUUCAUCGGUCAGAGAUGGGGAUGCGUCUGAUUAGCUUGUUGGCGGGGUAACGGCCCACCAAGGCGACGAUCAGUAGGGGUUCUGAGAGGAAGGUCCCCCACAUUGGAACUGAGACACGGUCCAAACUCCUACGGGAGGCAGCAGUGAGGAAUAUUGACCAAUGGGCGAGAGCCUGAACCAGCCAAGUAGCGUGCAGGAUGACGGCCCUAUGGGUUGUAAACUGCUUUUAUGCGGGGAUAAAGUGAGGGACGUGUCCUUCAUUGCAGGUACCGCAUGAAUAAGGACCGGCUAAUUCCGUG